rnacentral:rRNA from 1 species
AGAGUUUGAUCCUGGCUCAGGAUGAACGCUGGCGGCGUGCCUAAUACAUGCAAGUCGAGCGAACAGACGAGGAGCUUGCUCCUCUGACGUUAGCGGCGGACGGGUGAGUAACACGUGGAUAACCUACCUAUAAGACUGGGAUAACUUCGGGAAACCGGAGCUAAUACCGGAUAAUAUAUUGAACCGCAUGGUUCAAUAGUGAAAGACGGUUUUGCUGUCACUUAUAGAUGGAUCCGCGUCGCAUUAGCUAGUUGGUAAGGUAACGGCUUACCAAGGCAACGAUGCGUAGCCGACCUGAGAGGGUGAUCGGCCACACUGGAACUGAGACACGGUCCAGACUCCUACGGGAGGCAGCAGUAGGGAAUCUUCCGCAAUGGGCGAAAGCCUGACGGAGCAACGCCGCGUGAGUGAGGAAGGUCUUCGGAUCGUAAAACUCUGUUAUUAGGGAAGAACAAAUGUGUAAGUAACUAUGCACGUCUUGACGGUACCUAAUCAGAAAGCCACGGCUAACUACGUGCCAGCAGCCGCGGUAAUACGUAGGUGGCAAGCGUUAUCCGGAAUUAUUGGGCGUAAAGCGCGCGUAGGCGGUUUUUUAAGUCUGAUGUGAAAGCCCACGGCUCAACCGUGGAGGGUCAUUGGAAACUGAAAAACUUGAGUGCAGAAGAGGAGAGUGGAAUUCCAUGUGUAGCGGUGAAAUGCGCAGAGAUAUGGAGGAACACCAGUGGCGAAGGCGACUUUCUGGUCUGUUACUGACGCUGAUGUGCGAAAGCGUGGGGAUCAAACAGGAUUACAUACCCUGGUAGUCCACGCCGGUAACGAUGAGUGCUAAGUGGUUAGGGGGUUUCCGCCCCUUAGUGCUGCAGCUAACGCAUUCAGCACUCCGCUGGGGAGUACGACCGCAAGGUGGAAACUAAAGGAAUUGACGG